rnacentral:rRNA from 1 species
UACGUAGGGUGCAAGCGUUGUCCGGAAUUAUUGGGCGUAAAGAGCUCGUAGGCGGUUUGUCGCGUCGGCUGUGAAAACUCGGGGCUCAACCCCGAGCCUGCAGUCGAUACGGGCAAACUAGAGUGUGGUAGGGGAGACUGGAAUUCCUGGUGUAGCGGUGAAAUGCGCAGAUAUCAGGAGGAACACCGGCGGCGAAGGCGGGUCUCUGGGCCAUAACUGACGCUGAGGAGCGAAAGCGUGGGGAGCAAACGGG